GACGAACGCUGGCGGCGUGCUUAACACAUGCAAGUCGAACGGAAAGGCCCUGCUUUUGUGGGGUGCUCGAGUGGCGAACGGGUGAGUAACACGUGAGUAACCUGCCCUUGACUUUGGGAUAACUUCAGGAAACUGGGGCUAAUACCAGAUAGGAGCUCCUGCUGCAUGGUGGGGGUUGGAAAGUUUCGGCGGGUGGGGAUGGACUCGCGGCUUAUCAGCUUGUUGGUGGGGUAGUGGCUUACCAAGGCUUUGACGGGUAGCCGGCCUGAGAGGGUGACCGGCCACAUUGGGACUGAGAGACGGCCCAGACUCCUACGGGAGGCAGCAGUGGGGAAUAUUGCACAAUGGGCGGAAGCCUGAUGCAGCAACGCCGCGUGCGGGAUGACGGCCUUCGGGUUGUAAACCGCUUUCGCCUGUGACGAAGCGUGAGUGACGGUAAUGGGUAAAGAAGCACCGGCUAACUACGUG
rnacentral:rRNA from 1 species